UACGUGGAGUCCAAGCGUUAUCCGGAUUUACUGGGCGUAAAGCGUCUGUAGGUGUCUAAUUAAGUCUUCGGUGAAAUCUCCGGGCUCAACUCGGAAACUGUCGAGGAAACUAAUUGGAUCGAGUUUGGUAGAGGUAGAUGGAAUUCUUGGUGUAGAGGUAAAAUUCGUUGAUAUCAAGAAGAACACCAGUGGCGAAGGCGAUCUACUGGGCCAAUACUGACACUGAGAGACGUAAGCGUGGGGAGCGAACGGG
rnacentral:rRNA from 1 species